rnacentral:tRNA from 1 species
AGAGAGAUAAGCUAAAUUAAGCUAAUAGACUCAUAAUCUAUCUAUAGGUUAUUCUUUUCUCUA